rfam:Loxodonta africana unplaced genomic scaffold scaffold_108, whole genome shotgun sequence.
GUCAGGAUGGCAGAGUGGUCUAAGGUGCCAGACUUAAGGUAUCCUUUCCCGCUUUUGGGGUUUCUGGUCUCCAAGGGAACUUAUGGGUUCGAAUCCCACUUCUGACA